rnacentral:rRNA from 1 species
CGGGUAAUACCAGAUAACGUCGCAAGCCUUCGGGUUUGCGACCAAAGGUGCGAGUCCGCCCGAGGAGGGGCCCAUGUCCUAUCAGCUAGUUGGUGGGGUAACGGCUCACCAAGGCUACGACGGGUACGGGGUGUGAGAGCAUGUCCCCGCUCACUGGGACUGAGACACUGCCCAGACACCUACGGGUGGCUGCAGUCGAGAAUCUUCGGCAAUGGGCGCAAGCCUGACCGAGCGACGCCGCGUGCGGGACGAAGGCCGUUUGGUUGUAAACCGCUGUCAGGGGGGAGGAAAUGUCGGUCCUCAGGGCCGGCUUGACCUAUCCCCAGAGGAAGGACGGGCUAAGUCCGUGCCAGCAGCCGCGGUAAGACGGACCGUCCGAACGUUACUCGGAAUUACUGGGCUUAAAGGGUGCGUAGGCGGCCUUGCAAGUCGGGUGUGAAAUCCCUCGGCUCAACCGAGGAAUUGCGCUCGAUACUGCGGGGCUCGAGGGAGAUAGAGGUGAGCGGAACUUGCGGUGGAGCGGUGAAA